UGAGAUAGAGCUUGAAUAAGCAAUUCGUUUACACCGAAAAGAUACCUGUUGAGAGCAGAUUAUCUCAA
rnacentral:tRNA from 1 species